rnacentral:lncRNA from 10 species
GCUCAAUUAUAGCUCACUGUAAUGUCAAAUUCCUGACCUCAAACAAUCCUCCCACUUUGGCCUCCCAAAGUGCUGGGAUUACAGGCAUGAACCACAAGGGCGGGCCAGGAUCUAUUUUUUUAAUUGAGACAGGGUCUUGCUCUGUCACCCAGGCUGGAGUGCAGUGGCAUGAUCACAGCUCACUGCAGCCUCGACCUCCUGGGCUCAAGCGAUCCUCCCCCCUCACCCUCCCGUGUAGCUGGGAUUACACAUGUGUGCCACCAACCCAGCUAUUUUUUUUUUUUUUUUUUUUUUGUAGAGAUGUGGGGGGUUGGGGGAUGGGUCUCACUUCGUUGCCCAGGCUGGUCUUGAACUCCUGGCCUCAAGCGAUCCUGCUGCCUCGACCUGUCAAAGUGCUGGGAUUCUAAGUGUAAGCCACUGAGCCUGGUCUUGGCCAGGAUUUUUUUUAAAGCUACUCAAGUAAUUCUGUGCAGCCAGUGCUAGGUACUGGCCUGGUACCAUGGUUCCCAAACUGUGGUGUGCAUCAGAAUCACAGGUUGCUGGGCUGCACCCCCAGAGUUUCUGACUCAGUAGGUCUCGGAUGGGACUGAGAAUUGGCAUUUGGAACAGCUUCCCAGGCAAUGAAUACCACGCAGAGAACCAGGGCUGGAGGAUAAUCCUGGUUUGCUCAGGACAGCUCAUGUGGAGCGUCACCCUGUCCCAGCAAGCGGUUUACAGUCCUGGGCCAAA